CCCCUCUCAGGGUCGCACCUGGAGAGUUUCCAGUACUCUAUCAGUCUCAACUAUGGGAAGGAGAGUCAAGCAGCGGCCUACCCAUUCCAUUCUUAGCUCGACCAGUGGCUAGCGAAUGGAAGGCAAACUGCCACAAGU